rnacentral:siRNA from 1 species
UUUAGCUUAUACUUUCUCGUUCUU